UUGGUUCCGAUAAACGUUGAGUUUUUCCUAGUUGUCCGUCGGCAUCUAGUUGUGAUUUCUAUUCCCAUUCAUCGCCGUUGUGAUGUCUGGAUGUGGCCGUAUCCUUUGAAAAAAAAAACAAACCAAAAUACCCAGUAAUAAAUAUCAAAUCCCAGUGGACGUUUCCAUUGGUGGAUCCUUGUAUUGUGCAAAUUCUACG
rnacentral:lncRNA from 1 species